AAGCGACUUGUACUGUGAAACUGCGAAUGGCUCAUUAAAUCAGUUAUGGUUUCUUUGAUGGUACCUUGCUACUUGGAUACCCGUAGUAAUUCUAGAGCUAAUACAUGCAGGAGUGCCCGACUUCGGAAGGGCUGUAUUUAUUAGAUAAGAAACCUUCUCGGGUUCGCCCGGUUGUGUGCUGAGUCAUAAUAACUGCUCGAAUCGCACGGCUCUACGCCGGCGAUGGUUCAUUCAAAUUUCUGCCCUAUCAGCUUUCGAUGGUAGGAUAGAGGCCUACCAUGGCGUUAACGGGUAACGGAGAAUUAGGGUUCGAUUCCGGAGAGGGAGCCUGAGAAAUGGCUACCACAUCCAAGGAAGGCAGCAGGCGCGUAAAUUGCCCGAAUCCUGACACAGGGAGGUAGUGACAAGAAAUAACAAUACAGGGCUACUUCUAGUCUUGUAAUUGGAAUGAGUACAACUUACAUCUCUUCACGAGGAUCAACUGGAGGGCAAGUCUGGUGCCAGCAGCCGCGGUAAUUCCAGCUCCAGAAGCGUAUAUUAAAGUUGUUGCAGUUAAAACGCUCGUAGUCGGGUUUCGGGUCGGGCCGAGCGGUCUGCCGAUGGGUAUGCACUGUUUGGCGCGGCCUUCUUUCCGGAGACCGCGGCUACUCUUAACUGAGCGGG
rnacentral:rRNA from 1 species